AGGAUAUUGAAUACCCAAAUUUGUCUAAUGGGGAUUAUGAAGACCAACGUACUGCCUAGUCAGCAACAAGGACAUAAAAUGCAGGUUUACAAAACGUGGACCAACUCUGUCCUGACAGCCAACUGCACUUGCAUGGUUGGAUUGUGUGUGGAACUGCGGUGAAGUAGACGGUGACGUCGACUCUGAAGUGGUCUAUACUCAGAGUCAAUAACCGGGACACAUCUGCCAACGAAUCUGUGGACCCAGAGCUCAGAAGUAUGAGGAGUACCUGAAUGCAGCGUGGUCUGAGAGGUGGAGGACUACUAUUACCUGGCUGUAGUGAUCUACUGGAAAUCCAACACUGAGGCUGUGGACAUGAAGGGGAUGAGGAGCAGCAUCAAAACCAACACCAAAAAACACUGG